rnacentral:sRNA from 1 species
AUGAGCUAGCAUAUGUGAUGAGAUAUGGAUAAGUCGUACAGAGGUGACUCCCGACUUAUGAGCUAGCAUAUAUGAUGAGAUAUGGAUAAGUCGUAUAUGUCAUUAGAGGUGACUCCUGACUUAUGAGCUACCAUAUGUGAUGAGAUAUGGAUAAGUCGUACAGGUAAUUAGAGGUGACUCCCGACUUAUGAGCUAGCAUAUAUGAUGAGAUAUGGAUAAGUCGUACAUGUCACUAGAGGUGACUCCUAACUUAUGAGCUAGCAUAUGUGAUGAGAUAUGGAUAAGUCGUGCAGGUCACUAGAGGUGACUCCGACUUGUGUGCUAAUAUGGGUUAUUAAUCACAUGAUUAUUGAUAUUGAUGAUGAGAUGCUGUGUUGUGGUGUUGCAGCGAGGGGUUAUAAUGCUAUAGAUGGUUCCUAUUAAAAUUUCAUUUCUAGGGCCACUCACCCUUGUUUUGUUUUCACCCUCCAGGUUUUAUUAGUUGAGCUUUCUUAUCGUUGAAGAUUCGCGGCGAUUCUUAGUAUUGGAGAUUCUUUCGAGGGUGUCGACCAUCACAGCUCAAUUCGGAGUCCUAGUGAACAUCCCGGGUUGGGGUGUGUCAAAGAGAGGGUCGUAUGUUUGCUCCUGAUAUUGGCUUAUAUUGGCUUCACAUCGGUGUUAUUGGAGCUUGAUUUAAAUAGUGCAGUUAAUAUGAAUAAUGCGCAUGGAGAAUGUUUUUCUGCAACAAGCUGUAUUUU